rnacentral:rRNA from 1 species
GAGUUUGAUCGUGGCUCAGGACGAACGCUGGCGGCGUGCCUAAUACAUGCAAGUCGAGCGGAGUUAGACCUUCGGGUUUAAUUUAGCGGCGGACGGGUGAGUAACACGUAGGUAACCUGCCUGACAGACUGGGAUAACUACCGGAAACGGUAGCUAAGACCGGAUACGACCAUUUGGGGGCAUCCUUGAAUGGUGAAAAGCGGAGCAAUCUGCUACUGAUAGAUGGACCUGCGGCGCAUUAGCUAGUUGGUGAGGUAGUGGCUCACCAAGGCGACGAUGCGUAGCCGACCUGAGAGGGUGAACGGCCACACUGGGACUGAGACACGGCCCAGACUCCUACGGGAGGCAGCAGUAGGGAAUCUUCGGGCAAUGGACGAAAGUCUGACCGAGCAACGCCGCGUGAGUGAUGAAGGUUUUCGGAUCGUAAAACUCUGUUGCCAGGGAAGAAUGGUUAGAGAGUACUAGCUUUUAAUUUGACGGUACCUGAGAAGAAAGCCCGGCUAACUACGUGCCAGCCG